GGGGGCUCCCGCCUCACCGUCAGGGGCUGUGGGGGGGCUCCCGCCUCAUCGUCAGGGGCUGGGGGGGCUCCCACUCAGGCUUCAGGGGCUGGGGGGCUCCCACUCAGAUGUCAGGGGCUGGGGGCUCCUGCAUCAUCAUCAGGGGCUGGGGGGCUCCCACUCAGGUGUCAGGGGCUGGGGGGCUCCCACUCAGGUGUCAGAGGCUGGGGGCUCCUGCAUCAUCGUCAGGGGCUAGAGGGCUCCCACUCAGGUGUCAGGGGCUGGGGGCUCCUGCAUCAUCAUCAGGGGCUAGAGGGCUCCCACUCAGGUGUCAGGGGCGGGGGGGCUCCCACUCAGGUGUCAGAGGCUGGGGG